rnacentral:rRNA from 1 species
AGUGAACGCUGGCGGCGUGCCUAAUACAUGCAAGUCGAACGGAGUGGCUCACGGGCGAGUAAUGUAUAGCUAAUCUGCCCUACACUAGAGGACAACAGCUGGUAACGACUGCUAAUACUCUAUAGUGUAGGAUGAGGCUAUAUUGUAUCAGCUAGUUGGUGAGGUAAUGGCUCACCAAGGCUAUGACGCAUCACUGGUCUGAGAGGAUGAUCAGUCGCACUGGAACUGAGACACGGUCCAGACUCCUACGAGAGGCAGCAGUAGGGAAUAGUGCUCAAUGGGGGAAACCCUGAAGCAGCAACGCCGCGUGGAGGAUGACACUUUGCGGAGCGUAAACUCCUUUUGUUAGGGAAGCGGUACCUAACGAAUAAGCACCGGCUAACUCCGUGCCAGCAGCCGCGGUAAUAC